rnacentral:rRNA from 1 species
UAGCUAGUUGGUGGGGUAAGGGCCUACCAAGGCGGCGAUCGGUAGCUGGUCUGAGAGGAUGGCCAGCCACACUGGAACUGAGACACGGUCCAGACUCCUACGGGAGGCAGCAGUGGGGAAUAUUGGACAAUGGGGGCAACCCUGAUCCAGCAAUGCCGCGUGUGUGAAGAAGGCCUGAGGGUUGUAAAGCACUUUCAGUGGGGAGGGGGGUUGAUUGGUUAAGAGCUGGUUAAUUGGACGUUACCCACAGAAGAAGCACCGGCUAACUCCGUGCCAGCAGCCGCGGUAAUACGGAGGGUGCGAGCGUUAAUCGGAAUUACUGGGCGUAAAGGGUGCGUAGGUGGUUUAUUAAGUUAUGUGUAAAAUCCCUGGGCUCAACCUGGGCAGGUCAUAUAAUACUGGUAGACUCGAGUAUGGGAGAGGGUAGUGGAAUUUCCGGUGUAGCGGUGAAAUGCGUAGAGAUCGGAAGGAACACCAGUGGCGAAGGCGGCUACCUGGCCUAAUACUGACACUGAGGCACGAAAGCGUGGGGAGCAAACAGGAUUAGAUACCCUGGUAGUCCACGCUGUAAACGAUGUCAACUAGCUGUUGGUUAUAUGAAUAUAAUUAGUGGCGC